AUACGGAGGGUGCAAGCGUUAUUCGGAAUCACUGGGCGUAAAGCGUACGUAGGCGGCUUGUCAAGUUGGAUGUGAAAUCCCACAGCUUAACUGUGGAACUGCGUCCAAAACUGGCAGGCUCGAGAACAGUAGGGGACAGUGGAACUCCAGGUGGAGCGGUGAAAUGCGUAGAGAUCUGGAGGAACACCGGUGGCAAAAGCGACUGUCUGGGUUGUUUCUGACGCUGAGGUACGAAAGCUAGGGGAGCGAACGGGAUUAGAAACCCCAGUAGUCC
rnacentral:rRNA from 1 species